GCCCUGGAAAGUCGGAGAGUCGCACGGGCGACGACUAUCACGACGAUCAGAGCAAGAACCGACGAGCAAGCAAUCCAGUUUGCUUUCUUGUCCUCCAUCAAGACUUCAUCUCUGCUUCAGGAUUGUGAAUCCACAGGUUUUGCCAAAUGUUCAGGUUUGACCAGUGUAUGGACAGAAGAAAACACCAAGAAAGGUCACAAGCUUACUCUUUCUUUCUUUAUAUUAGAUAGUGACUACUUGUAGAGUUGCCCAUUGUUUCAUAGCCAAUAACUUCCGAGGGGUUGUUCCUUUCUUUAUGGCCACCUGCUUAGUUAAUUCAGUCUCUGAUUUUCGGUUGAA